AACACAUGCAAGUCGAGCGGGGGAAGGUAGCUUGCUACCGGACCUAGCGGCGGACGGGUGAGUAAUGCUUAGGAAUCUGCCUAUUAGUGGGGGACAACAUCUCGAAAGGGAUGCUAAUACCGCAUACGUCCUACGGGAGAAAGCAGGGGAUCUUCGGACCUUGCGCUAAUAGAUGAGCCUAAGUCGGAUUAGCUAGUUGGUGGGGUAAAGGCCUACCAAGGCGACGAUCUGUAGCGGGUCUGAGAGGAUGAUCCGCCACACUGGGACUGAGACACGGCCCAGACUCCUACGGGAGGCAGCAGUGG
rnacentral:rRNA from 1 species